UAUCGCAUGUCAGCAUCGGAUUAUGAGU
rnacentral:sRNA from 1 species